rnacentral:sRNA from 1 species
UCCACGGCUCACGCCGUGGGUUAAAUUCUGCCGCCCCCCCCGGGGCU